AUUGAACGCUGGCGGCAUGCCUUACACAUGCAAGUCGAACGGCAGCACGGGAGCUGGCACCUGGUGGCGAGGGGCGGACGGGGGAGGAAUACAUCGGCACAGGUCCUGUAGUUGGGGAUGGCGCGGCGAAAGCCGGAUUAAUACCGCAUACGAUCUACGGCUGAGAGCGGGAGACCUUCGGCCUUGGCCCUAUAGGGUUGGCCGAUGGCGGAUUAGCUAGUUGGUGGGGUAAAGGCCUACCAAGGCGACGAUCCGUAGCUGGUCUGAGAGGACGACCAGCCACACUGGAACUGAGACACGGCCCAGACUCCUACGGGAGGCAGCAGUGGGGAAUUUUGGACAAUGGGCGCAAGCCUGAUCCAGCAAUGCCGCGUGUGUGAAGAAGGCCUUCGGGUUGUAAAGCCCUUUUGUCCGGAAAGAAAACCUUCGCGCUAAUACCGUCGUGGGAUGACGGUACCGAAAGAAUAAGCACCGGCUAACUACGUG
rnacentral:rRNA from 1 species